AUUUAAGUUGUCAAAGCUGAAUCCGCUCCAGAAUUAUAAAAGAUGAGAGCGUCCCAGAUUCGAAACACAAAUACGAGAGGAGAAAAAUAACCCAAACGUUUACAACCCCGGUCUUUCAAAAAUCCAUUAAAUGAAACUUUCAUACUGUUUGGUAUCGGAAGUCAAAGACCAGCCAGAAUGAAUCGGAUUUCAGUGGGGAGUCGCACUGGUACUAGAGCUGUCCUCCGGAAAUCAUUGCAAAGCGAUUUGCUUCGGCUGAGUCCUUGGUUCACAAGUGCAUCCCUGAAGUUUUGGAAGCCAAGAGACAUUUGUAUGAUAACUUAGUUGUUAUGUGGCUAUUGCUCCAAACACGCCUUGUUUUUAAACCUGGGAUUUCCUCCGCCACCCUUUGGGAUUUUUUUUUCCAUCCGGGGUCUGUUGAGACUUGCAACUUGAAUUGAACGCGCAAGUUCCGGCGUUCACGCAAGUUAUUUCCAAAGAAGUCGGUUUAACCUUGUUAGGUGCACUCAUAAGGAAUAAAGCUAGAGUUUGGAGUCUCCCUCCUCUUGUAGCCAGUACCUUGGUCCCCAGUGAAGUAAGUGAAGAGAGUCUGCACAAAAACAACCGGGAGUUCUUUUGCGCCUGAGCUCUCCCCCUGCGAUCCUGAAGGGCUGCUUGGAGACUUACUCACAUGCACCGCCCGACGGAUUGAAAAUAACCUUUUGAUUCAGGCUGUUUUUCCUGGAAGGUAACCUUCUCUGCUUAAGAAAUAUGUUUAGAACUGGCUGAGCUCUCCUUCCAGGUGUGGGACCCUGAUCCACAGCUCAAUUCAUUUAAUCUACUCACAUUAACACUCCCCUGAACUGAUGGGGAGUGAGUCCCACGGUCUCCGGACUGAAUCCGAACCCUAGAUAUGGUGAGACCGGGAAAGCGCCAGUUCCUACUGCCACACCUAAGUCAGUUUCAUAAGCUGAUCUCAGGCAGCUGCUUUAGACAGAUGGCAAGACCAGCGGUGGGUUCAAUGAGGCUAACCUACAAAUUCGUAGACUCCACACCUCAGCCUUACUUUAGUAAGUGAGGGAGAAAAAGAAGAAUGGAAGCGCCGUCUCGCACGCAAGCGCGCGUUCUCCCUGAACCCGGGAAGUUUAGCGGCUAAGCAGGGAUUGCUGUGAGACAGCCCAGAGUAGCUUCUACGGGCGGCGGGUUCAGUGCACAAUUGGCCAGGCGGAGGCACUCCGGAGCGAAAUUGCGCUGGGCUUUCGAGGAACGGCGGUGUAAUUCUUACAAGGGUCUCUGGGUAUUUUGUCCCAUCCCGCGAAAAGCGUUAAUGCUUUACUCCAGAGUGACAUCUGAUAUUUCUAUUCAGUGUGUGGUCCUUCUAAACGUAGUGGAUCCGUUUAUUAAAGGAACCAGAUCCGAACCACCGCAGCAACGUUAAAACCAUCUAUCCCCUAAUGUCUUUGGAUGGCGGGUGUCUUCUGAAGAUUGCAGCCGCGGAUAAGCCCGGCAAAUUUGAAACGAAAUCCUUUCCACCCCACUUAAAAUAAAUCUAUUUCAGAAGCGAGAGUGACAUCUUCAGUCGAUCUCCUCUCGCGAUCUAGGGUGAGGCGCCGUCAAGGCUGAGAGACGGGACAGCUCCUUUUUCCUUGGAAGGGUAAAAAAAAUAGCAGUGUCUACUCUUUCGGAUUCGGGUCCAAAACAAGAGGUUGGGGUGUUCAGUUGCUCAGUUUGCAACGCCAGUGAAACUAAAGGGAAGGGUAGAUUAGCACAGGCUAACACGAGGUGUCCUGUAUUUCCAAACCGCUUUCAUUCCACCCUCCCCAAAAAGUUGACAGCCGCUCUGCAAAACCUUCGACUCGCUCCUUUAACUGCCUCUACGGUGGGAGAGCGGGGUAUACCCUCGAUCAGUCGCUCGGGUCAGUGAUUUAGGCCCACUCUCUAAGAUCUCUCACCCGUGUUAUUUCCAGCAGAAAUGCGCUCACCUGUUUAAGUCUAAAAAAGCCGGACCCAGAGUUUAUUUAAUGGGAGGGGCGCAGAGGUGCACUUAUCAAGAAACGCGUUGCCACUGAAACCGAGAAGGAAUUGAAUGCCCAAAACACAUGUUUGCAACUAAGGAAAAGUUUCUUUUUAUAUCCCCGCCCCCUCCAUCAUUACAAUUGCUCGACUGGGGGGGGGGGGGGAAAUCCCAUUUGAAAUCUCCCAGGACCCCGCAGAGAUGCGAAGCUCACCGCUGCUGCCGCGUUCCCCAUCGGGCAUUUGCGAUACUUACCUAACUCCCUCCCUACUUAUCAGUGCAAACGCCUGCUAGCUUAUGCGGCCAGUCAGGCAGCCAGGCAGCCAGCGAGCGCUGCUUAAGGGGACCGGAAUCCUGCGGUGCUUUUUCCGCCCGGUUCUCUUAGGGGUAGAGGUGGAGGGGUUACUCUUGUUUCGGAGGGCAGGUUUUAAGAGAAGUCAAAAAAGGGCGGUGGAGGGGGGGGGGGAGAAAGAAAUUGGGAAGGAAGAAUGGCGCCACUUUGGCUGCGUUUGUAUAUAUCAGAAGCAAGGAAAGCAAGCGGCCCCUGGGUUUGGUUCUGCUACGGGGUUCUCUCCCCCCCCGCCCUUAGUUAAUCAUCGAUUGCAUAUCAGGGGUUGCGCUUUGCAAGGAUCAGGCGUGGGGGCAGGGGGGCGUUGAAGGGAAAGUAGCCCACGAAUGUAAGUUUUCAGUUUAGUACCUUUGAUUUUUUUUCUGCAUCCCCCCCCCCUCUCUCUCUCCUGGCGACACUGUCCAAGUCCGAUGUUUUUUUUCUUCUUCUUGCAAAUGUUUUGACUUUGGCCUCAAUGAGUCGAGAGACAGGAACCUCCCUCCAGUUUGACUGAUCCGAUCCCAGACAAGCAACCCGGGUCAGGUGGAUCUAUCCUAGGGAAAAGGCUUUACCAAGUUUCUUUAGAAAUUAAGAAGAACCGCAAGGCUAGAAAAUCAGAUCACCCAAACCGAAUUCAAAUUUUCAUACCGGAACCUACUACCUGAGACGGUGAUCAAAACACAGAAGCCAGGCAAGAAAUGAUUGGUGUAUUAUUAUUGGUUCAGGAAAAUGAGACUCCUUUGCCCAUUAUCCCAGCAAUGCUGGACAAUUUGGAAUCUUUUUGGAUUGCCUUGGAUGAUGAGACAUCUCUGAAGAGUUCUGUAGUCUCAUUAAUAAUCUAACCUAGUCUGCAGCCUUUGUAGCUUUCUUAGCUGAGUUCCACCAAUUUUUCUUCCUUGAAAAAAAAAAAAGAAAGUGGAAGAAAAAUUCAGCACAAUGCGAUAAGAAACUGUCAGCAGGAGACAGGAAAGAUGGUCAUACAAGGAUUUCCAUUAUUGACAAAGAGAGAUUAUGAACAAGAAAAAGGCUGUUUUAUGCCAGGAACAUAUGCUUUAUAAAUAUGAUAAAUGAAACAUACCAGAAAAUUCUUUUCUAUAUAAUAUUGGCAAGGCAUUUGGACAUGCACUUUCAGGAAGCUCUGAUAUUCAGGCAGAAAUGGAAUGGAGAACUGCGACUGUAUGACUACAUGUCUACUAUUAAGGCAUUUUUGAUGGACAGUUCCCUCUUCUGAUUUUUAAACAAUAAACUUGGGCACCUCAGUUAAUGCAAGGAUGGGCAACCUGAUUGCCCUGUGGCUGCAGGCAGUCUUUGAGCUAAUAUCAUGCAGGGUUUGUUCUAAUUUCAGGACCUCUGUGAAAACAAAAAAGGCUGAAGACAGAUCUUAUUAAAAGGUAUCAAUUCCUUCCUGGCAGCCAGUAGAAAGCGAGAGAGGAUAGAGGGAGGAGAAAAAAGGUGUCAAAAUAAUAGAAUGAGAGUAAGCAAAAGAAGAGUGUCUGAGAGAGAAACAGAAGGAAUGUCAGAGAGAUAAUAGUUGCUUCAGUUCUCCCAUUUCACACCCCCCAGGAAUGUAUGGCCUUCAAAAAUCAAAUUUUCAUCCCUGAGCUAGUUAACUUUUUACUGGAAGGUUGUCUCUCUUAUAAAGUAAGAUGCGGUGACUCUACCAUCUUAACAACAGUAAAAAAUGGAAUCCGAUAUCAUUAACCUCAUCAAAGAAUGUGAUAAUAUAAUCACCUUUCAUUGAACUAUCAAAUAUUCAAGUCAUUAUUUAAAACUAAAAGUCCUUGAAAUCCAGGCA